UGUAAUGUAAAAUACAAAUGUAACACCUAAUAGCUUACUAUGAAGUGUACAGUCGUCGGUCAUUAUCGCAAAAUGAAGCUCUUUCAGGUUGUAGCUACAAAUCCUGAUCAUAUUGUUGGCAAUUUUGUCCGUUAAUUAAUUUAUGUAUUUUGCUACAGUUUGGCUGUAUCAGAUUGGUUUUGGAUUUUUGGAUGUUUGUAACAUUUUGGAUUUUAACCAAAAUCUUUUAGGCCUAAAAUAAUGUGUGUAAUUAUGGUGCCAUAUGCCAUUCAGGAAUAUCGACACAUAUUGAACUCUUUUAACAGAUUGUGAAUAUACAAAUAAUGAAAAUUUAGCUUAUAACACUGUUUUAGUCUGCCAUUAAAUUUCACAACUAUGGGUUUUUCUAUAACAGCUGUUGAGUGAGUGACUAUCUGCCGUGCAACUGUCUUGAGAUGAAAGGAAUGCUGAAAUAGACCUCGACUGCUAUUUUAGUUUUAAAAUUGCCAUUAUCACAUUUUAGACAGUUUUAUAACCUGCAAGACUUUAUUUCAAAAGUUCAACUUAAAAGUAGACCGUAAAGAAUGUAUAAUUCAGUACAUUCCAUUUUAAUUCAGUUUAGACAAUCACAGUCUGUGACAGCUAAACCCUGGUCCAGCUAAUAAAAAACCAUACAAUUCAGAUUAGCUUGUAGAGAGCUAGAAAUAAGUAAUAGAAACUUAAAAACAAUAGACAUGGAAUAAAUUAAAGUUAAUUGCGACAUUUUUCCCAGUCAUCUCAAAUGCAAAAUAAAUAAAUAAAUAAAUAAAAAAUAUUCCCAGUUUACCAGAAUUCACCUGUUUCAUAGUAAGAGAAAGGUGACACCUAGAGGACGGUUGAAGCCCCAUUAUUAAAAUCGCACAGGAACAUAAAAUAAGAUGCAUAUAAGUAUAAAACCACAACUUUUGGCUUACAAUUUUAUCAGUUUCCAGUGGUUCACAAAUACGCUGUAAAAUUGAUUUUGAAUUUGUUUUUACUUGAAAUAAAUUUACUUGACAUAAGUGUACUUCUUUAAUUGCUUAGAGUCUUGUAUCUGUAAUUAUGAUCAUACUAAUUUGAAAUUACAUUUCAUUCCAGCUGCAACUGGCAGUGUUAAAUCUGAACAUAUAAUCACAUCUCACAUUAUGUAGACUUCAUAGUGUCAGUAGGUUGGUUAACUGGAUCUUUAACAUCAAACUAUUUGGACUUGACUAGAACAUAAACCGUGCCUGCCAAAUGCGUAUUUAGGACCACAUAUCAUUAUCAUGCACACAUAGCAUAUAUUAAUUAGGCCAGUGCUUUUUAUAAAUUGUUUUUAAACUCUCUUUUGGGAUAGUAAGUUAGAACAGCCAUCUAAAAUAACAAAAUAACAAGAAAUAUCAAAAUAUGAAAGGUGAAUAUUUAGUUAAAGUAGUUGAGGUGACUUUCAACCAAAAGUUGAAAUGAAAAGUUAAAAAUCUGAAUCCAGUAUCAUAGGGAUGACAUCAUCAGUUCUCUGCUAUUUAUCAAAACCGUAUCACAUUGUCUUCUAUGGAGCCUCUUGAUCCUUUGCAUAUAUAUUCCUGCCAGAUUCCAAAGUAAGGGACAACAAAAUCCUGAUUUACUCUUCAACAACUUUAAUCUGAUUAAUUGUUAUUCAUAUCCUCAGCCUCAUCACUUUGAUUCAUGGGGUCCAGAAUAACAUUUUUAUUGGUGGGCCUCCAGCAUAGUCCCCCCUCAUUACAGGGUUCUCUGCUUUAAAGGAUACCAGAUAAUCCACGUGCUGACUCUGUGGCUGUUGGCUGCUGGCCGGGUGGGGGCCAGCGUUUCUCAAAUUUGUUGAAGAAUAGUGGGUCGGUGAAGGGCCCUCCAUACACAAUGGUUUGCAGCAGGUAGACCAGUGCCACUACUAGGCUGGAGACCAGAAAGAAGGGAAUGAAAGGACGAAGAUGUGUCCACACAACUCCCACACCAUAAGUGAGGCCACCAUGGUCACGGUAAUGGGUGGUCUUGCGGGAUGUCGAUGAUGGUGGAAUGGGCGAAGCGAGGCUGUCUGAAUCCAUGUAAUUGGAAGACUCUGGAUCAGUGGAAUCCAUGGUUGAUGGUUAUAUAUUAAUGGCUGAUCCACCCAGGAAAUCAAAACGAGCAAUGAUUAAAUACUAUGGAGUAUAGAUGUUCCAGAUGUCAGCAUUUCCUAAGUAUUGCAUGAUCCUGUGCGUCUUCUCUUUCAGAUCUUGACAGAUGAAACACAGUUUGCAGUGAAUACUCCAGAACUAAUACCCUAAAGACAGAUUCAUCGAUUUUCUCAUGCGCUCUUAUUUCUAUCUUUUUCUGACUCUUAACUCUCUCUGUAGGUGUUUGCAUGCACUGACAGAGCUGGUGUCUGUCGGGACCUCAUAAGAUCACCACACCAGUUUCAUACCAGCCGCACUCAGGGAAAUAGAAUACCCCGAGAGAGAUACUCUGAGAG
ensembl:lncRNA